rnacentral:rRNA from 1 species
GACGAACGCUGGCGGCGUGCUUAACACAUGCAAGUCGAACGAUGAAGCCUAGCUUGCUAGGUGGAUUAGUGGCGAACGGGUGAGUAAUACGUGAGUAACCUACCUUUAACUCUGGGAUAAGCCUGGGAGACUGGGUCUAAUACCGGAUACGACCAAUCUCCGCAUGGGGUGUUGGUGGAAAGCGUUAUGUAGUGGUUAUAGAUGGGCUCACGGCCUAUCAGCUUGUUGGUGAGGUAACGGCUCACCAAGGCGACGACGGGUAGCCGGCCUGAGAGGGUGACCGGCCACACUGGGACUGAGACACGGCCCAGACUCCUACGGGAGGCAGCAGUGGGGAAUAUUGCACAAUGGGCGCAAGCCUGAUGCAGCGACGCCGCGUGAGGGAUGACGGCCUUCGGGUUGUAAACCUCUGUUAGCAGGGAAGAAGAGAAAUUGACGGUACCUGCAGAGAAAGCGCCGGCUAACUACGUG